rnacentral:rRNA from 1 species
CUACUGGGGUUUCUAAUCCCUUUCGCUACCCUAGCUUUCGUCCCUGAGUGUCAGUUACGGCCCAGUUGAGCGCCUUCGCCACUGGUGUUCUUCCCAAUAUCUACGCAUUUCACCGCUACACUGGGAAUUCCCUCAACCCCUACCGUACUCUAGUUAACCAGUUUCCACUGCCUCUCAGAAGUUGAGCUUCUGUCUUUAACAGCAGACACGAUUAACCACCUGCGGACGCUUUACGCCCAAUGAUUCCGGAUAACGCUUGCAUCCUCCGUAUUACCGCGGCUGCUGGCAC